GACGAACGCUGGCGGCGUGCCUAAUACAUGCAAGUUGAGCGCUGAAGGUUGGUACCUGUACCGACUGGAUGAGCAGCGAACGGGUGAGUAACGCGUGGGGAAUCUGCCUUUGAGCGGGGGACAACAUUUGGAAACGAAUGCUAAUACCGCAUAAAAACUUUAAACACAAGUUUUAAGUUUGAAAGAUGCAAUUGCAUCACUCAAAGAUGAUCCCGCGUUGUAUUAGCUAGUUGGUGAGGUAAAGGCUCACCAAGGCGAUGAUACAUAGCCGACCUGAGAGGGUGAUCGGCCACAUUGGGACUGAGACACGGCCCAAACUCCUACGGGAGGCAGCAGUAGGGAAUCUUCGGCAAUGGACGAAAGUCUGACCGAGCAACGCCGCGGGAGUGAAGAAGGUUUUCGGAUCGUAAAACUCUGUUGGUAGAGAAGAACGUUGGUGAGAGUGGAAAGCUCAUCAAGUGACGGUAACUACCCAGAAAGGGACGGCUAACUACGUG
rnacentral:rRNA from 1 species